rnacentral:rRNA from 1 species
AACGAACGCUGGCGGCAUGCCUAACACAUGCAAGUCGAACGAGACCUUCGGGUCUAGUGGCGCACGGGUGCGUAACGCGUGGGAACCUGCCCUCAGGUUCGGAAUAACUCCCCGAAAGGGGUGCUACUACCGGAUAAUGUCUUCGGACCAAAGAUUUAUCGCCUUUGGAUGGGCCCGCGUUGGAUUAGCUAGUUGGUAGGGUAAAAGCCUACCAAGGCGACGAUCCAUAGCUGGUCUGAGAGGAUGAUCAGCCACACUGGGACUGAGACACGGCCCAGACUCCUACGGGAGGCAGCAGUGGGGAAUAUUGGACAAUGGGCGAAAGCCUGAUCCAGCAAUGCCGCGUGAGUGAUGAAGGCCUUAGGGUUGUAAAGCUCUUUUACCCGGGAUGAUAAUGACAGUACCGGGAGAAUAAGCUCCGGCUAACUCCGUG